AUGGCAUUUUAAAAUGUAUAUAUACUGUAUAGGGAGUCUCCACAACACCGACUUAUAGACACACAUCUUAUAAGGGCGUUGAGACUCUGACAAUAUAGAGAACAUGACACACAAAACAAAACGUGUAUAUCAAAUCAUACAGAGGAGAAAUUAAAAACAAAACAAAAAA